UUUAAUAUGGCAGACUAGUGCUAUAGACUUAAAUUCUAUAUAUAAAAAUUCUUUUUUUUUAUUAAAA
rnacentral:tRNA from 1 species